rnacentral:rRNA from 1 species
UACAGAGGUCCCAAGCGUUGUUCGGAUUCACUGGGCGUAAAGGGUGCGUAGGUGGCUUGGUAAGUUUGAUGUGAAAUCCCCGGGCUUAACCCGGAAAUGGCAUUGAAUACUAUUGAGCUGGAGGUUUGGAGGGGGGACUGGAAUUCUCGGUGUAGCAGUGAAAUGCGUAGAUAUCGAGAGGAACACCAGUGGCGAAGGCGAGUCCCUGGACAACACCUGACACUGAGGCACGAAAGCUAGGGGAGCAAACAGG